AACCAGCACAUCAGUCAAAUUCCCGAUAUUAUGCGCUAUAUUUUAUCGGAGCCGUUAUUGUGCUAAUAUGAAAUGUUAAUAAGAGAGCAUCCAUUCCACUAUACGGUGGAUGUUGCUCUCUUGGGGUUC
rnacentral:snoRNA from 1 species